AUGGCGCUGCUGAUGGAGCCCGGGUCGGAGCCCCUGACGGAGGGCGAGAAGGCCGACCUGGACGCCAUCGCCGCCAUCAAGGAGUCGGCGGCGCGCGAGUACAGGGAGGAGGGCAACCAGUUCGUCAAGAAGGGCCGGAAGCACUACCCCGACGCCGUCGACUGCUACACCAAGGCCAUCGCCCAGAUGGGCGCCCUCUCCGCCCCGAACCCCGACGCCUCCGUCCUCUUCGCCAACCGCGCGCACGUCAACCUCCUCCUCGGCAACCACCGCCGCGCCCUCGACGACGCCCAGCAGGCCGUCCGCCUCUCCCCCUCCAACCUCAAGGCGCACUACCGGGCGGCGAAGGCCGCGCUUGCUCUCGACCAGUUGCCCCAGGCGGCGUCCUUCUGCCGGCGGGGGCUCGAGCAGGACCCCGCCAACGAGGAGCUCAAGAAAUUCCUCGCGCAGGUGGAGGCGCAGCAGCGCGAGCGGGAUCUUAAAAGGGCCAAGGUUGAACAGGCCAUAUCCGCCGCGAAGGAUCUUGCUGCUGCUAUAGAGAAGAGAGGGCUGAGGCUGGGGAAGGCAGCAUAUCAGGAGCUGACCGGGGUAAAGAAGCCGAAGCUGGAUGAGCAGGGCGUGCUCCACUGGCCAGUUCUUCUGCUCUACCCGGAGGUCAUGUCGAGCGACUUUAUUGAGGAUUUUCCGGAGACUGAUAUGUUCUCGGAUCACCUUGAUCUCAUGUUCUCAGAAAGUUCUCCACCUUUGCCAUGGGAUGAGAACCACGCUUACACAAGGGACGCUAUUGAGUUGUAUUGUCAGGCUGGUGAUGGCACGCCGUUCUCCAAAAGUGAAAUGUUAAAAUAUCUUCUGGAAGGCACUGUCGACUCAGGGUCACUCACAGAAAGCCUUGAUGGGGAAGAUGGAGAACAUGAUACUGUGAAGGGCAGCACAGCUAUAUCACCAAGCCAGGGUAAGUGGAUCAAAGUAAGAGAAGGGAAAACUCUUCAGGAAGCGCUGCAGCAUAAAGACUACAUCAUCCCGGCGGUACCUGUGUUCUUUGUGGUUUCAAGGAAAUCCGCCUUCCAUUCGAAGUUCAAGGCUGGGAAUUGGUCUUUGCCGUAG
rnacentral:rRNA from 1 species